rnacentral:rRNA from 1 species
GGCCUAACACAUGCAAGUCGAGCGGUAACAGAGAGUAGCUUGCUACUUUGCUGACGAGCGGCGGACGGGUGAGUAAUGCUUGGGAACAUGCCUUGAGGUGGGGGACAACAGUUGGAAACGACUGCUAAUACCGCAUAAUGUCUACGGACCAAAGGGGGCUUCGGCUCUCGCCUUUAGAUUGGCCCAAGUGGGAUUAGCUAGUUGGUGAGGUAAUGGCUCACCAAGGCGACGAUCCCUAGCUGGUUUGAGAGGAUGAUCAGCCACACUGGGACUGAGACACGGCCCAGACUCCUACGGGAGGCAGCAGUGGGGAAUAUUGCACAAUGGGCGCAAGCCUGAUGCAGCCAUGCCGCGUGUGUGAAGAAGGCCUUCGGGUUGUAAAGCACUUUCAGUCAGGAGGAAAGGUUAGUAGUUAAUACCUGCUAGCUGUGACGUUACUGACAGAAGAAGCACCGGCUAACUCCGUGCCAGCAGCCGCGGUAAUACGGAGGGUGCGAGCGUUAAUCGGAAUUACUGGGCGUAAAGCGUACGCAGGCGGUUUGUUAAGCGAGAUGUGAAAGCCCCGGGCUCAACCUGGGAACUGCAUUUCGAACUGGCAAACUAGAGUGUGAUAGAGGGUGGUAGAAUUUCAGGUGUAGCGGUGAAAUGCGUAGAGAUCUGAAGGAAUACCGAUGGCGAAGGCAGCCAC